AAAGGAAUAGACGGGGGCCCGCACAAGCAGAGGAGCAUGUGGCUUAAUUCGAUGCAACGCGAAGAACCUUACCUGGGUUUGACAUACAGCUGCACGGCCUAUGAAAGUAGGCUUCCUUCGAGGGUGCUGUACAGGUGCUGCAUGGCUGUCGUCAGUUCGUGCCGUGAGGUGUUUGGUUAAGUCCACCAACGAACGCAACCCCUCUCGCUAUUUGCCAACGGGUAAUGCCGGGAACUAUAGCGACACUGCUGGUUUACGCCAGAGGAAGGUGGGGAUGACGUCAAGUCAGUAUGGCCCUUACACCCAGGGCUGCACACGUGCUACAAUGGCAUAUACAGAGCGACGCGAGACCGUAAGGUGGAGCAAAUCGCAGAGAGUAUGCCUCAGUUCAGAUUGGGGUCUGCAACCCGACCCCAUGAAGUCGGAUUUGCUAGUAACGGCGUAUCAGCUACGACGCCGUGAAUGCGUUCCCGGGCCUUGUACACACCGCCCGU
rnacentral:rRNA from 1 species